GAAACUUCUUUUAAGAGGGGUAGAUUGUAAUCCCCCGUAAAUUUAUAAAUUUUAUUAAAUAUAUUUUAACAUAUAUUAUUUAUAUUUAAAUAGAAUUUAUGAAUUUUAGUAAUAAAUAUAUAAUUAACGUAUAUUUAUUUUAUUUAUUUUAUUUACGUUUUAAAUAUUUCAACGAAUUAGAAAAUUAAAAGUAAUUUUAGAAUUUUACGUUGAAAAGAAUUCGAAUUAUGAAAACGCGUCCGAUUGAAUUUGGAUAAACAAUCCUAACUAUUUUUGGAUUCAAACAACAUCAAUUCCAAUCCUAGCCCAAGUUUGCAAAGCCCAAUAAAGAAACCCAAACAAAAUUACCCAUACCUCUACUCUCCUUCAAUUCACGUAAAAGCAAAAACAAGAGAAGUCAAACCCUCCUUCCCUCCUAUUCUUUCACGUAAACCAGAAAACCCUCAAACCUUGGUACUCUCUGCCCCAGCCGCAGCCACCGUACACUCGCCGGACCGCCGCCGCGUUGUCGCACCGCCGAUCCCUCCGUCCGAACCGCCGCUGCCACCAGUGCUCGCCACCACGCAAGCCCAGCCGCGUUGCCAGUUCGCCGUCCUGUCUCACCGUCGCGCCUUGCCCCGCCAACUUCUUCUCCCUUUCUUCUUUCGCGGGUUACCACCGUAGGCGCACGCAACCACCACCCAGCAAGCCACCUGCGCCGCCAGCCUUGUCGACCGAUCGUCGACCACCCACACCUGCUGCCGCACCGCCAUUGCCGCCGGCCAGCAGCCUUUCUCUCCUCCUUAAUUUUGGUGGAGAAUUCUCGUUAGGCGACUUUUGAAAGUGUUAAAGUGGCCUAUUAGUUUGUUUACACAAGUCUCUAAGGAUCAAUAAGCGUUGCCCAUCUACAGGUUUGAAGAUGAUGCAUCAUUGGGAUCGGGAUUAGAGAGCUUGUAGUUCUAUUUGUUUAAUUAAGUGAUUUAAUUUGUUAACUUGGAUUUGAAAUUUGUCAUACUAUUCGUAUUUCCUUAAUUCAGUUAAUUGGUUUGGACCUAAUAUGUAAUAGAUUAUUUAUGAACCUAAAAGUUAGUUUUAUGUUUUCCGCUGCAAAAUUCUGAAUAAGCCGUAACGUUUUCACACGGGCGAUAAUGCCUUGAUAAUUCUCUACGUUUUAUAUUAAAAUGUUGUUUUAGAAAAGAGAGAAUUGUCGGGGUGU